UUAACUAAUUCACUAAAUACAAUAAAUCAAUUAAAUCAUUGCUUCCACCAAGGCUCGAACUCAGGUGGAGCAAGACUUUGCUUAAAGGGUCAAUUUCGGCCACUUCUACCCAAAUUGCUCCUGAACCAUAUUAAUUAAUUAAUUAAUUAUAUUAUUAGGGUAAUUAAGAUACUACCCUUAGCCUGUAAAAGACCAUUUUACCCCUAGACCCAUCCAAACUUAAGAUUAUCCCCUUUUUAAGUCUGGUUAAGACUCAUUCGGGUAAAUCUUCAUAUUCGGGUGUCCUACAUGGCUGGACCCGAUCUUUCCUAGCUAAACUAAAUCACCAAGUUAGUUGUCUUGGCUGUUGCAAGGGUUUCAGAGGUCUGAUUCUAGGCGCAUCAAUCCGUGUGAACCAGGUCUAAUCGUAGGAAUUCUAGAUACAUUAUGCAUUACUUAGCAUAGUCAUGUUAGGGUUGUUACAGAGGCUGCGUGGAGAGCCUCGCUGAUUGAUGAGGAGGCCCACUAGUAGAGGGUUAUCGAGGUGGCUGCUGGGGCGUUUAGUUCCAGAGGUGUAGAGGAUGAGAGGAGCACUGCUGAUGAUGUUGUUGUUGUAGUUGAGGACACUACUGAGGGUGUCCCUACUUCUGAGGGAGCGGGUUCCGGAAAAUCGUACCCGCCAACUUGUUGAUCACCGGCGCUUUGCGCCUCAGGAAAUCUUUCCACUUUGAGAACAUGGGAGAAUUGUGCUGAAAAUUGCAGAAAUCACGACCUACGGAGCCAUCUGUGGUCCGUCGUGACCUCGACGGUCCGUAGGUGGCCACCAUAGUACAAAGAAAAAGGUUGCUAAAGGAAGUUGGGGAAUUCUGACUAAGUAUGGGUCUACGGAGUCUCUCGACGGACCGUCAUAGCCACGACGAACCGUCCUGCACAUCCGUCAAUGAUAACAAAAAGUAUCCCCGUACCCAUCUUCAAAAUAUUCUAAAGUAUGGAAGAACGGAAGCCAUCGACGGACCGUUGUGCACGCAGCGGACCGUCAUCCAUGUCCAUCGAUGGUAACAGAAAGUUGGUGAAGAAAGAAGCAGAAAAAGAAGUCAAGUAUGGAAUGACGGAGGGCCUCGACGGUCCAUCGUGACCUCGAUGGUCCGGUGCUCCAGUCGUCGACUCAGAUGCAUUUUUGGGAAGAUUUUCCUUAAAUAGAUUUCCUUUUUAUGCUAGGGUUUAUCUAUUAUAAAUACUUGUAAAAACCUCAUUUUUGGAGUUAGACUCUUGGGUAUUUUUCA